GACGAACGCUGGCGGCGUGCUUAACACAUGCAAGUCGAACGAAGAGCGAUGGAAGCUUGCUUCUAUCAAUCUUAGUGGCGAACGGGUGAGUAACGCGUAAUCAACCUGCCCUUCAGAGGGGGACAACAGUUGGAAACGACUGCUAAUACCGCAUACGAUCUAAUCUCGGCAUCGAGGAUAGAUGAAAGGUGGCCUCUACAUGUAAGCUAUCACUGAAGGAGGGGAUUGCGUCUGAUUAGCUAGUUGGAGGGGUAACGGCCCACCAAGGCGAUGAUCAGUAGCCGGUCUGAGAGGAUGAACGGCCACAUUGGGUCUGAGACACGGCCCAGACUCCUACGGGAGGCAGCAGUGGGGAAUCUUCCGCAAUGGACGAAAGUCUGACGGAGCAACGCCGCGUGAGUGAUGACGGCCUUCGGGUUGUAAAGCUCUGUUAAUCGGGACGAAAGGCCUUCUUGCGAAUAGGGAGAAGGAUUGACGGUACCGGAAUAGAAAGCCACGGCUAACUACGUG
rnacentral:rRNA from 1 species